CUGUCCUCGGCCCUAGCCGCACGUCGCUCCGCCCCGCCGCUUCACGUCCCGCCUACCUGUCCUCCAGAUGCCGCCUCGUCCUUUCGUCCCGCCCACAGUCUCCCGGCGACUUCGCACGUCGCCUCGCCGCACGUCGCCCCGAGCCGCCUCACGUCGUUCCGUUUGCACGUCUUUCCGCCCGGCGUUUCCCCGCCCCACGUCUCACUGCCAACCUCAGCCCGCCUCGCGGCACCCGGUAGGCCGUCGCUCGGCUGAGAUGUGGGCGGCUCUCGGCGGGGCCGGGGGUCUCCAUGUGGGGCUCCUUCUGGGCGGCGCUCGAGGUCUGCACAGCUCGCCUGUCUCCUGCGGCAAGAACCUACUCAAGAAAUUUGCUUCGAAAACCAAGAAGAAGUUUUGGUAUGAAGGUCCUUCCUUGGGCUCUCACUUGACUCACAAGCCGUCUCAGUUGGCAUCCCUGACAAAGAGCACCUCCAAGAGAGCCAGAAGGGAAGACCACGUGCGCCUGAGGGCCCUGAACGGCCUCCUCUACAAAGCGCUGACUGAGUUGCUGUGCACCCCGGAAGUGAGCCAGGAGCUCUGCGACUUGAAUGUGGAGCUGUCCAAGGUCUCUCUGACUUCAGACUUCUCCACCUGCCGCGUGUUCUGGAGGACGACUGUCUCUGAGGCUCAAAACACAAACGUGGAGGCCGUCCUGCAGAGGAGCGCUGCGCACAUGAGGCACCUUCUGAUGUCCCAGCAGACCCUGAGGAACAUGCCGCCAAUAGUGUUUGUUCAGGACAAAAAAAAUGCAGCUGUAGUGGAGGUUGAUCGGUUACUGGCAAUCGCUGAUUUUGGACCCCCGGAUGAAAAAGACUUUGAGCAAAAUGAUUUCAGCACCCCCAAGGCCCUGGACAUUACAUCGCCGCGUGAUACCCUGGGCCCUGCCGCACCCUCGAGUCUGUGUGGGAUCGACCACGAGGCUCUCAACAAGCAGAUCCUGGAGUACAAGAGGAGGAGAGAGAAAGGGCGUGGGAGCAUGGGCCCAGCGUGGCUGGAGCCCACGGCUGAGCUGAUGAGGAAGAGGGAGGCCAGGCCCCGCGUGGACGACAACCUCCCGCCCAAGGACUGCCUGUGGGAGACGGGGAGUGAUGGGCCCCUGGACGGCGGGGCCCUUCCCGAGGAGCACACCCCAGGACGCAAGGGGGCUCCAGGGGCAGAGCAGGAACUAGAGGCAGAGAGAAAGGAUCGCGGGUCCUGACCCGCUCCCGUGAGCACACCGAGACCCGUGCUGCUGGUGCCCCCCGGGAUACCCUUGUGCAGGUGCAGGCUGAGCUGUGCGGGUGUCAUCUCUGAGUCCUUCAGACCUAUUGCUGUGCUGCAGUGAGAGAUGGGGCGAGGCUGUGGAGAGGGUGUGAAAUCUCUUAGGUCGAUGGCGUAUGAUCUGCCCUCCAUAUUUGGGGUUCCAGGCUUGCAUGUUUGCUUGCUCACUAGAGUUUGUCCACGGCCCCCAGAUCCAUACUUGUGGCACUUUCAUGGUUAUUCUCGGACACGGACAGACCAGUGGGAUGCACACGUGGCCUGUGGUCACACAAGGCACUGCUCUGUCUGCUUUGUUCAUCUCGGGCUGUGAACAGCCACCCUCUCUGAUCGGGUUAGCGCCACGUUAGUGCCUUCUGACAGAGAUUUCACUCAUGGUGCCUAAGUGCAAGAGGCCGUGAUGUGUCUCCUAGAGAAAGCACGUGUUAGAUGAGCCUCGUUAGGAAAUAAAUAAAUCAUUUAAUUCUGACACAGAAACGUUGUCCUGGGCUUGGGGCAGCUCCAUUUCCCAACUAUCAUUAACCUUGAAACACUGAAAUGAUAAAGUUCAGAUGAUUGGAGAAAGGUACGCUACAAAGCUAAAACAAGGAAACCUGUAACGUGGCUUUUCAGGGAGUGUAAUUUCCCUUCUUGUAAACUGUUUCAGGAAGGAAAGCGUUGCCUUGCCUCUGCAGCAGUGGCAAGCCCCAAAUGCCACUUUCCCUGUCGGCAUCUGGGACCAGGUGUGAUGCCCCAGCAGGGAUAUGGCACCAAGAAGCUCCGUCUUUGCCGGGACAGUGGCCCCCUCUGAAGGGCUGGCAUCACGGGCCACCCUGUGGAUGCUCCAGGCAUGUUGCUGUUUGAGUGGUGCUUGUGGGAUCCUGCCCCGGAAGGGUGCAUGUAGCCUGUGUGUGGGCUGUCUGCAUUAGGAGUGUGGGUUGCUUACACAGCCGCUUAUGACCAGAGAAGAAAUGUCCAGAGGGAGGAUUGACCUGUGUUAAAAUGUACACGGGAUGUGUCCUGAUCAGGUGUGGUAAGAUGACAGAGUUGGAAACUGCUACCUUGAAAGAAGAGUUCUUGACUCACAGCUCCCGAGAGGAGGGGUGCACCACGCUGCACGGGGCCCACGAGGAGCGCCAGGGUCUGUCAGCAGGCCGAGGGUGAGGAGGAAGCGUGGCUGAACCCGUCUCGUGGCUCCUGGAGGACGGAGUGGGCCAGGAGGGAGUUACAGUGGUUUGUAAGGGUACAAGAGGGGCCAGGAAUCAGACAGACGGUGUAAAAGGAAGGAGCCUGGAACGUGACCCUGGAUGUCCUCCACAGGCCCUGGAAUGCCGGUGCUGGGACGGCUGAUCCCUGACAGCCCUGCACCUGCCCCAGGCACCUCACAAGUGCAGAUGCCGUCUAAUAGCUGCAGGCACGCUGCACAUUUGAUGUGAAAAGAGACAAAACUGAAUACAGGACGCACCCAGCUCACCUUUCAUUUCAUUCAAAGGGCAUAGAACUUUGCUUCCUCAGAGCACAUGGAAGGAGCUCCCAGGCUGCUGGACACGUGGAGCUGGGGAGUGGUUGCUCAGAGAUCCGGGGAAGCUCCGUGCCCUUCCCGGUCCCUCGCCCUGUGCACCUCUUCCAUCUGGCUGUUCCCGGGUUACAUCCUUUCAUAGUAAACCAGUGACCUGCAGGUGGAGCUCAUUAGCAACCAGAUGUCCUACAACUUAAACUUACUGAAGACAGAACAAAGGGACUCUGACUAUGGAUAUCUUAGAAAGGGCCAUCUGAGCAGCCAAAGAACAAAGCUGAAGAUGAGCGAAUAUUAAGCAUGUAAAAACAGCCAAUAGGAAAGAAAAACUGACAGUCUUCCAGGGGAGCACUGCCCACGAAAGUUACUUUUAGUCUUGAAAAACUUCAUGUUCUUCAAAAGGGUUUUUCUACCUUGAGUUUUCCUCUGAUGUCUUGGCCUUCCAAGUCCUAUCAGUAAAGUUCAGAAUACCUAAAAUUUUCUUACGGCAUCUUCUGUUCAAGAGUUUGUUAUACGUAUAGUUUUCUGUUGUUUUUUUUUAAUAAAAAGUAAGUAGUUUUCAUCAUAUGUUUUAAAAAGCAUAUUCAAGUCAUCACCAUCAAAACUGUGACGUAUCUAAGCUUUAGAGUAAAAGAUGGGGAAAGCCUGAGCAAGUGAACUGCCCCAUCGUCUGCCUGCCUGUGGGCUCAACACCAGCCUGUUGAGAGGUGUGGACACCCGUAUCUGAAGGUCGCGUUUCAGAAUUUGCUCAACGCUUAAUUGAAGGUUAUCAGAGCUAUGUAGAAUGGAACACUGGAAAGAAUAAUGCGUCAUGUGACAAAGUAGAGCUCCAAUUUGCCUUUUAAAGACAGUUCGAGAUGAAAAACCAAAAUCUAUCAGAUGAAAUUUGACAGGAAUACACACAAACUCCUAUGUUUGAGAUUUAAAAUGUUAAUAAUCUACAGGAUUGUGGGUUAGGUGAAAAGGGUCUGGUGGUCCCACUGAGUUCUGGCUGAGCUGAGGCGGGCGCGCUGCUGAGGCUGUGGAUGGAAGCUGCGGCUUGGCUGGGGGUGGCCGUCACUCUGGCACCGGACCCUGGAGCCGAGUUUAAACAGGACUUCGAUGGUAGGGGAUGAUGCCCUGGGAAGGGUUGGCUAAGCCUGUUGUGAGACACGCAGGGGAAGCUGCAAGGUUAUUCCGUGGUAGAGGAGAGCUGAGACCAAGACCGGCAGCAGCAGCCGAGGAGGAGGCCUGAGCUCCCCGCCUGGGGCACCUGCAGGUCAGCUUUGAAUCUGCAUUUUUACCUUGAGAUGUUACCUCUGUUAGAGGCAAAGGCUCCUUGCUAAGUGUUUGACUCACAUUCACCCCUCUUUUCCCUAGCCCCCCACUUGUCACCCGCCUGCAGGCUUGCUUCUGUCCAGGACCCCUCAGCACAAGAGGCCACUCAAGCCACAGCCCUGUGGGCAGGGUCCACGCUUGCGCACAGCCUCCCCUCCCGGUGCCUCACUGCGCUUGCUCCUGCGGCUGCAUCAGGGCUCACGUUCGUCCCACUGCUCCCGCCUCUCCUGGUGAAGAGCGCAUUUGCCCAUAACCCAGUCCCCAAGGCCCUGAAAUGUGAGCGUCAGCCUCUCGGGGAGAGCCACGGUCCUCGAGACCUGCUAGGCAAGACUGAAGCACGUGUCGAUCCGCCAGCAGUGGACUGCUGUUGAGGUUUGCCCCAAGGUUGAAGGCAGACGUUCUUGCUGCUCAGAGGAAGGAGAAGACAAGCAGCAAACGCGGGAGUGGCUUUGAGGCUCUUUCUCACCCUGUGCCUGAGAAAAGCAGAGAAGAAACAGAUGUGGAGCCAAGAAACCAGACAGACAUUGGGCAUUAGGAUCACUGGAAAAAACCCGGGUUUGAGGGUGAGUGGGAGAAGCAGAAAGAAGACAAGACACGAUUCUCUGCAUACAAGGAGGGUGGAGCCCCGAGUUAUCCAGGUCCGACAGGCGGAAGAGAAGGGCUUUUCAGCCAUUUGACUCUUAAACCUGCUGCCCUGGGUUCAGUGCUUGGAUCUGACACUUGGUGGCUGAGUGGCCUCUGCUCCGUUUUCUCCGUGGUCGGGAUACUGGUAGCAUCUGCCUCAGAGGUCACUGGGAGGACUGCCUGGGUGGUACGUGUGGCAGCACUUAGCAGAGCCUGGCACAUGGUAUGUGCUCCACGAGUCCCAGUUCUUGAUGCUGCCUUCCUAGGGCUUUGGUUUCAGUGACAAGUAAAGGGACUGGGGGGGCAGUUGGCUCUGUCAUGUCCUUUGGUGGAGAUGCACACAGUCUACCUCUUGAGGAUGUGCAGAGGAGGACUGUAGGUGCCCCUGGCUGGAGCUGGCUGGGCCUCUGCAGGGUGGGCCCACAGACGUGACUGAAUUGUACACGUGGCCAGGUUUUCAUGUCUUUGGGACAUGAAGAUGAAAGGAGGAGAUCAAAGUCUGCCUGUUAGAAGUGAAAUUUGUUGAUCAGAACCCAGAGCACCAAGGAUAUACCUGAAGAGCCUUAUUUAUGCAAACAUCUCUGCAACCCCAAAAUCCUGUUGGGAAAGCAGAGGCACAAACAGCCUUCUCUCUCAGGUUUUGUCUUUGGAACAUGAGUACCCUGUGUGGCUCUUCUGCAUUAAUUUGAAUACCAUCCAGCACUAGACUUGAGUAAAACCCGAACAGGAAGCUGAAUGUUGACAAGUUGUUUUCAUUCUGGAAAGUGAAGCUUAGUGUGAUCCUCAGGCGUGGACUCCUUAUAACCUCCUAUGUUGAGAUUCCCGAGCUGCAGCCACAGUCCACCUGGUUAAGCCGGUCGUGGGGUCUCAGGAGCCCCCUCGGAGGAGAUGGGACUCAGACAUCCGGGAUAAACAGUGUGGAGGAGAUGAAAAGAUGCAACAAAGCAUCACACAGUCCAAGGCCAGUGGUCAACAAAGACCCAUCAGGUCCCGUUAAGGGCUUCUUUGUUUUGUUUCCAAACCUCCCUCCCCAGCUUGGCUUGUUUGCAGGCCUCAAGCUCCACGUGCUUGGAUACAUUGCCUUGUCUUUCUGGAUGCCUCCUGGGCGUUUCUGAUGCUCCUGUCUUGCCAGGCCGAGACCAGAACUCACACUCAUGCCCUCAGAGGCUGAAGAGAUGACGUCUCAGUUUUGCAUGAAAAUUCAUGGCGCUGCAGUAGCAUUCACGUUGAAGAAACAUGUCUUCUGCUUGCAUUGGGAGGAACCCCUGCUUUGCAGUGGUAACAGCACCAAACUGGCCAAGUCUAGCAGGAUGGCAGCAGAAUUCCAGCUUUCCUAGAUCUCGGGGCACCUUCCCUUUUUAAUCCCCCCCCUCCAACACACACACUCUCAGUGCAGUGUCUUAGUGCAAGAGUCUUGGUAGCCUUCCCUGCCACCAGGCCUUGGUUUCUGAAACUCUGAAUCUUGGUGCGACGAGGGUUGGAGGCAGGGUGGAGGGAAUCAUGCUUCUUUCCC